rnacentral:rRNA from 1 species
UACGGAGGAUGCGAGCGUUAUCCGGAUUUAUUGGGUGUAAAGGGCGUGUAGGCGGGAAUGCAAGUCAGAUGUGAAAACUAUGGGCUCAACCCAUAGCCUGCAUUUGAAACUGUAUUUCUUGAGUGCUGGAGAGGCAAUCGGAAUUCCGUGUGUAGCGGUGAAAUGCGUAGAUAUCGAGAGGAACACUCGUGGCGAAGGCGGGUUCCUGGACAUUAACUGACGCUGAGGCACGAAGGCCAGGGGAGCGAAAGGG